ACUGUCAAGUACUACGUUUAUGCUGAUUGCAAGUGGCAGAGCAAUACCACCAAGGCCUUUGUGCCCCAGGAAAUCACUGGGGCCCUUUAUGGCUGCUGACUCUAUUCAUCUAGAAGCACCUUUUUGGAAUGUUCUCCUUCCCCUGCCAGUUGUUUAUUCAUGCAUCAACAAUGAGGAGCAACUGAAGGGUUGUUUCCUGCUUUUCCUUAUCACAAACUUCCAGCUGGGAGUUAAGGAGGCACCUGUGACGUCACCCAGACUGAGGGAUGAGAAGAGACCUUUGUGUCCGUGCUUGGAAGGAGCUGGAAAACCAUCCAGAGAUACCAGCCUUUUGUAUGAAACUGGAUUGCCUGCAAAUUCAGAAAGCUCUGGAUGUUUUUUUGUGAAAUCCCAACCUCAGUUUUGCCUCAGAGGAUCCCGUGUGGGUUUGGAACUGCUGCUUCCCUGGGACCAGAGCAGACAUGGAUUUCCAGAUCCUUUCUAACACAGAAUUAUGGCCCUGGGAGCUCUUUGCCCACCAGACACUGAGAGAGUGACACCCAAAGCCAUCAUUUGUGGGAUUCAAUCUGGGAGUUCACCAUCAGUGACUGCACCUGGAUGGGGUUCCACUGGUGUCUGACACAUCCCUGCACGAGGUCCAGCUGCCUGGAACUGAAUGAGGGAUCACAGCCUCAGGAAUUCCACCCCAGCGUUAUUGGAGCAAGGGCCUCCUGCCAGGGCUCCUCCCGGCCUGGGGAUGCUGGCAGGG